rnacentral:rRNA from 1 species
AUUGAACGCUGGCGGCAUGCCUUACACAUGCAAGUCGAACGGUAACGCGGGGCAACCUGGCGACGAGUGGCGAACGGGUGAGUAAUGCAUCGGAACGUGCCCAGUAGUGGGGGAUAGCCCGGCGAAAGCCGGAUUAAUACCGCAUACGACCUAUGGGUGAAAGCGGGGGAUCGCAAGACCUCGCGCUAUUGGAGCGGCCGAUGUCAGAUUAGCUAGUUGGUGGGGUAAAGGCCUACCAAGGCGACGAUCUGUAGCUGGUCUGAGAGGACGACCAGCCACACUGGGACUGAGACACGGCCCAGACUCCUACGGGAGGCAGCAGUGGGGAAUUUUGGACAAUGGGGGCAACCCUGAUCCAGCCAUGCCGCGUGAGCGAUGAAGGCCUUAGGGUUGUAAAGCUCUUUCAGUGGGGAAGAUAAUGACUGUACCCACAGAAGAAGCCCCGGCUAACUCCGUG